rnacentral:rRNA from 1 species
GCACAAGCGGCGGAGCAUGCGGAUUAAUCGAUGCAACGCGAAGAACCUUACCAAGGCUUGACAUACACCGGUAACGCCCAGAGAUGGGUGCCCCUUUGUGGUCGGUGUACAGGUGGUGCAUGGUUGUCGUCAGCUCGUGUCGUGAGAUGUUGGGUUAAGUCCCGCAACGAGCGCAACCCUCGUCCUAUGUUGCCAGCGGGUCAUGCCGGGGACUCAUGGGAGACUGCCGGGGUCAACUCGGAGGAAGGUGGGAUGACGUCAAAUCAUCAUGCCCCUUAUGUCUUGGGCUUCACGCAUGCUACAAUGGCCGGUACAAAGGGCUGCGAUACCGCGAGGUGGAGCGAAUCCCAGAAAGCCGGUCUCAGUUCGGAUUGGGGUCUGCAACUCGACCCCAUGAAGUCGGAGUCGCUAGUAAUCGCAGAUCAGCAACGCUGCGGUGAAUACGUUCCCGGGCCUU